UCAACACGGUUAUUCGAAAUAUCGUAGAAAUUGUCCAGCUUCCGCUUCGGAAAAUUUGACGAUUGACUACAAAAAGUUCUCGCGUCCAUAUUUUAUGCGGUUCUUUAACCUGACCGCUAGUUUUUUCUGUUGUUCCUCCGGGUCCAAUGAUUUAUAGCACGUCGUGAUCUUGUCAAACUUGAAUUGUACUAGACAGCUUGCCCUUUGUUUUGUUUUCCGACGUUCUCUCCCCACCGACAUUUGCGAAAUUUGCUCACGUUUCUUCAAGUUUCUCCGCGUCAGUAAUCGACUGGAACAGG